GAGCUGCUACUAUGCCUCAUCUGCCAUCUGUGUGACAGUGCCUCACCACACCUCCGGCCAGCCACCUACUCCCAGUAAAGGAAAAGUGAAGAUUGUUUGUCUAGCCCUCCAACUCUCUUUAAAUCUACAUAAUCGAAAGGAAAAAGGCUAAAAUGGUGAUGUCCAAGGUUAAAUAUUAGGCCUUACGUGAGCUCCAUCUUUCCCAUUGUAAUUGUGGCUUAGCACAG
rnacentral:lncRNA from 1 species